UGUUACAUAUAUGUUGACUUUUUAGUAUUAUUCAAAAGAUAGCAUUUUAUUGUUAACAUUUUACUAACAAUUUUGGGUUAACAUUUUGCUAAUAUUAUAGUAUUUCAUUUUGUUAUCAAUUUGUUGACAUUUAGAUGUUUUCAACCACAAAAAAGGCGGUAAACGCUGUACAAGCCGCCAUUUUAGAUAUAUAUAUAUAUAUAUAUAUAUAAACGCUCGAGUGUGAUGCGAACAAUAUAACCUAAUAUUAUUUUGUCUUUAAAUUACUGUGAAAUAAUUUAUAAUAUAAUUUAUAGCUAUUGAUUAACAAUACUCAACGGUUCAUAAAAGGAGCUGUCGAUCAAGCUAAUAAUGAGCCUUUGCCAUUGAUUGAUGGGCUUAACUUUUUUGAUCAACCAGUAACCCGAUCAGAGUAUUAGUUACUUAAUCUCCAUGUAAACAAUCAAGUUGCUAGUGGUGAUAAUGAUGCAAUUCUUACUGAGUUCAUAAAAGAGUGGCAUGUUAAACAUAAAAUCACACGUGAAGCGACUGACGAACUUUUACGCAAACUUCAAUCAUAGUCUCAAGAACAAUGUUUCUAUGCAAAAUGAAUUUCUAAAAAGACAUGAUUCGGAAAGCUGGUGGUCGCAAUGUACAAAAAGCCACUCGUUUUGCAUUGGAAUCAUUCAUUUCUGAUGUGUUGGCAAAACAAGUGACAUGGUCCGGAUUACACAGUGAGAUUAAAAUCUCAGCAUGUUUCUUCGUAGAAAUUAUUAGUGUUUUAUUAAGCACUUUGAACGUUACAAAACCUAAUGUUGAACAUCAAAUGAAAGCCUGGUGUCAACGCGGUAAUGACCGAGCCAAUAAAAAUACCGAUCCUACAAAUGGUUCUGCCAAAAAGCAAAAAGUUGCCAAAUUAUUUUUAGUUACGAUCUUUAUAUUUACAAGUUGUUUUCAAAAAACUUUUUUUUAAUAGUAUAAAGAGUUUUCUGUUCUCUAAGUCUAAAUUAAUGAUCUCAAAACAUAAAAGUAAGCUUAUCAGAUAAAAAUAAAACUAUAAGUUAGUGUCACCAGUGCUAGUCACAACAACUAGUCUUGAUAUUAAGCUCACAAUUAUUAUUACUAUUAUUGUUAUUAAUAUAAAACCUAUGAAUGUUGUAAAGAAAUUGUUAAUAAAUUUAAGCAUUCCAAUUAUAAAAAAUUGUAUAUUUGUCACAAUAAACUGCGAGU